rnacentral:rRNA from 1 species
UACGUAGGGGGCGAGCGUUGCCCGGAUUUAUUGGGCGUAAAGGGCGCGUAGGCGGCUCGGCACGUCCGUUGUGAAAUCGCCCGGCUCAACUGGGCGGGGUCGGCGGAUACGGCCGAGCUGGAGCAAGCUAGGGGGUAAUGGAAUUCCCGGUGUAGUGGUGGAAUGCGUAGAUAUCGGGAGGAACACCAGUGGCGAAGGCGGUUACCUGGAGCUUUGCUGACGCUGAUGCGCGAAAGCGUGGGGAGCGAACAGG